rnacentral:tRNA from 1 species
ACUAUUUUAGCAGAAAAAUGUCAUUAAAUUUAGAGUUUAAUUUAUAUAUAAUUUAUUAUAUAAAUAGUA